ensembl:lncRNA
GGGCGUGGAAAGGAUUUUGGCCCGAUCCGUCAUUUAGGGGGUCUAGCGCAAGUGAAAAGGGAGCGAAGGCGCACACAACAGCCACGCAACAUGAGGCAGCUCGUGUAUCGGAUGUUACCAAACGAAGGCGUCUAGCCUGGAUAGCAGCUGUGAGACGAGCUGAUAUCCAGUUCUCUUCCAUCUCCAGAUAUCUGUUGGUGUGCUCCAUUUUCAUUCCGGCAAACCAGCCUAUGAAAUGGAUGAAACACAUCGUGACUGGGUUCCAGUGCUACAUAAGGGACCUGCUUCAAACAUACCACUAUGCCAAUCAGAUUACUUCUUCCAUGUGAGGGUGAAGAGGUGACCCUUCUGGAUUAGAUGGUGAAGGUUUGCUGCGUUUGGGGAACAGUGUUGUAGUAAAACCAGGGAAAAUGAAACUUGCUCCUGUUAAAUAUUCUUAAGUCUUGUGCUGUUUAAAUAGCGGUAAAAUUUUUUUCAAAAGAUACAGUAAAUAAUGUUAGUAGUGGAUGAUAUCAUGUAAACACUGUCAUGAUUUUGUGUAAACAUUUUGUCAUUUGUAAACUAUAAUAAACUAAUAUAAACUUUGUAUACUGAGUCAAAAGCCAGUAAAUAAAAAUGCGUUUUCAAUCUGGAUUUAAAAACCAUCACUGAUGUCGAUUGCCUAAUGUGAAGAGGAAGAUUAUUCCAAAGCUUAGGAGCCACAAUAGAGAACGCUCGGUCUCCUCUCAGUUUCAACCGUGAUUUGGGGACUGAGAGCAACAACUGCUCAGCUGACCGGAGCGAACGAGUGGGGACAUAGGGCUUCAGCAAAUCAGACAUAUAUG